GCGUCUCGGCGGACUGCCGCAACUAGAGGCGCUCGGCUUUGAUCUAACCUCAACUUGCUGAGCGGAGCGAGAGUCUGACGAAUUCGAUCGAUCAGCGGAUCAUAACCGGUUUGAUCGAUAGACGAGGUCUUCGUAACGAACUAUUUGCUAAUAAUUACGGCGAAAGUUUUGCAUUACCCGACGCCAGUGGAAUCGAGUCGAAUGGUUAAUUAGCGCCCCGGAUUACAGCAUCGCGCGUCAAUACGUACAAUGUAAUUGCUGUGCGGUUACAGACGCACGAUUAAUCGGCCGCUCUUUCCACGUAUUGUAUUGGGAGAAGGGACUCCGUCGCAUUUUUAUCAAGAGCUUUUCGCAAUCGCGCUAAUUGCUCGGCCAAUGGACACAAGGUCGCGCGUGAGGGAGCGAACAAUGUUAAGCGAGAACGAAACGGCGCCGACGGUGUGAUAUUUGUAUCAAUUGAUAAAUCGCGUCCGGCAGGUAACGAUCUUCCAAUCGAUCCUAAUGUGCGCGCCGUGCGCGCGCGCGAAUUGCGUCAGGCCGAGAAAACGAACACCGGCGCAUCGUGCCUCAUCGACUUUUACGAGUGCCUCGUUGCGGAGAAACUAGAUGCGAGCCGCCGUCCGAAAGUCGGCGAAAGGAUUCACCCUCCGCGCGGAAUUUCGAUCGGCGAUCCCGUCGGCGCGCUCGAUCGAUCGGAUUGCCCGGCGAUCUGCUCGCCGAUCACGCCAGCGCUUCCUCUUAUAUUCCGCUCAAGGCGAGCCAGCCAGCCGAGUGCGAAUCUACGACUCGAAAUCGGAUCGUCCUUCACCGACGUCGGCAUCCUCUAGACGAGCGGUCGGUCGUGCUCGAAUUGCUCCUGUUUGCCGUGACGGCGGCACCCUUCGGAACGAACCGAUGCGCUUCUCAAAGGAGGAACAAAAAGAGAUAGAAAUCUAUAAAAAUGCUAUAAAUCACACUGUACAUCGUAAUUGUGGCAGAAUACAAUGUCAAACGAAGAAUUAAAGCGACAUCCGACGAGUCUGAAACACCCUGUAUCAUUGAUUCCAGCGAGGAACAUCCAUCAUGUUACCCAUAGAAACAGUCCGAGCGGGGAGAUAUGAAAAUGAAGUAACAGACGCGGACAAUAUCCAUUAAUGAUGGCGGAAUGCAGUUCCAAGCGUAAGGUUUCGGCCCAUGAGAUAACUUCUAUCGAAUAUCCUUCGGCUUGAUGGAACGUUAAUCCAGGAGCGAUGUACACAAAGGACGACACCACCCUCAGCGCGAUCGAUAAGAUCUGACUUGGUGAAAUUGUAAGUGACCGGCGAUUAAUCGCAAAGGACGGCUGGAUUGCUCGUCUACCUUCCAAUUAUUGUGGUGCGCUGAUGGAAUUCGAUACACCUCGGGUCCUCAAAUCCGUCGAGCCAGCUGGACGAGGAGUUCCCGCGCCAGUGAACCUCACCUCACCUCUGGCAUAACACGAGCAGCCGAUGUAGAUGAGUGCACGGAUAGCGUGCUAAAAGGGCUGGGUCCUCUCGAGGAAUAUCGGCGUCGCGAUUCUCUUAGAAAGCACCGACGGAGUGGGAUGCGAUGACUCGAUACGGUUGCCGUAUCCUAUUAUCGAACUCGUAGCUCACGAUCGACAUGAUUUUUACCGCAGCCGCGCCCCUUGCAUCCAGCCAGACACUCGUGCGGAGUACAUCUACUCGACCUCGGGAACCAGGCCGCCGUUGACCCCAUUGGCCGACCUUCAGGCCCGUUCGGAGAUGCUCGCCGAUCUGUAUCACCCGGCGUUGCGCAACCACCCUUCAUCC